rnacentral:snRNA from 1 species
GGAUGUGAGGGUGAUCUGACUGUGACAUCUGUCACCUCAUUGAUGGCCAGGGUUGAUUUGGCUGGUGUGGAGGGCUAGGCAGGUGUCCUCUUCCUCCCUCAAUGCUCCAUGUGUGGCCCUCCCUAAGCUGAGUGCUCCAUUGAGGAGGAUGACCACCCCUGAUAGAGGAGGAGCAUUCCUUCCUUAGUCAAGUGCAUACAAGUAGCUGCACUUCCCUGCUAGAAUCUCCAAACAAGCUCUCAAAAUUUAUGGUGAUGCUCAAAUGGGAAAUUUCUUUACUGUGAAAGACAAAGUAUU